rnacentral:rRNA from 2 species
AUUCAGUCCGGUGUGGCGGACGUGGGCGUCGGAAAUCGAAGCAGGGCUUCCCCGAGCGGGGGCCGUCCGACCCCACACAGGCUCCGUUGGGGCCGGACGCACUUGACUCUCGUCCGAAGGACGCCGCAGCCGGCCGGGCAGCGCAAGCGCGACGGCCUGAGGGGCGGAGGAUGGCAGGUGGCCGGAGGCGCGCACCAGCGCGUCGCCGGUUGUUAGCCGCUCCGCCGGUGGCCCGUCGCCCGGCCGAGGUAUCGCGAGGCCCUCGAGGCCUCGACGUCUCCUCCCCAGGGAUGCGGGACGAGGCGCCGCAGGCGGGAACCGCCGUUGGCCGUUCGCACCCCCAAGGGGUGGUCGGCCUGGCGGGAUCCGCCGUUGGUGGCGCGGGACCCGUAGGAGGUUGGAGGCUCGCGGCGAGUAGGUCGGUCACCCACCCGACCCGGUCUUGAAACACGGACCAAGGAGUGUAACAUGUGCGCGAGUCAAUGGGUCUUGAACAAGCCCAGAGGCGCAACGAAAGCAAAGGCCGGCUGAACGCCGGCCGAGUUGGGAUCCCCGGCCCCGUGCCGGGGCGCACCAACGACCCGUCCCGUCCGGCUCGCCGGUGGGGCGGAGUGUGAGCGCACACGUUGCGACCCGAAAGAUGGUGAACUAUGCCCGGACAGGACGAGGCCAGAGGAAACUCUGGUGGAGGUCCGCAGCGGUUCUGACGUGCAAAU